rnacentral:rRNA from 1 species
AUUGAACGCUGGCGGCAUGCAUUACACAUGCAAGCCGAACGGCAGCACGUCCCCUCGGGGAUGGUGGCGAGUGGCGAACGGGUGAGUAAUACAUCGGAACGUACCCAGGUGUGGGGGAUAACGUAGCGAAAGUUACGCUAAUACCGCAUAUUCUGUGAGCAGGAAAGCGGGGGAUCGCAAGACCUCGAGCUCUUGGAGUGGUCGAUGUCGGAUUAGCUAGUUGGUGAGGUAAGAGCUCACCAAGGCGACGAUCCGUAGCAGGUCUGAGAGGAUGAUCUGCCACACUGGUACUGAGACACGGCCCAGACUCCUACGGGAGGCAGCAGUGGGGAAUUUUGGACAAUGGGGGCAACCCUGAUCCAGCCAUGCCGCGUGAGUGAAGAAGGCCUUCGGGUUGUAAAGCUCUUUCGGCGGGGAAGAAAUGGCAACGGCUAAUCUCCGUUGUUGAUGACGGUACCCGCAUAAGAAGCACCGGCUAACUACGUGCCAGCCGCCGCCGUAACAC